GCCCCUAAAAUAAAGAGCCUAAAUACUAGAACAAAAGCGCCUAUACCUAACAAGAUUAAGUGAAUGCCCAAAAUUGUGGUCAUUUUAUUUCUAUCUUUCCA
rnacentral:antisense_RNA from 1 species